UACGUAGGGGGCAAGCGUUGUCCGGAUUUAUUGGGCGUAAAGAGCUCGUAGGCGGCUUGUCGCGUCGUCCGUGAAAACCCAUGGCUCAACUGUGGGCUUGCGGUCGAUACGGGCAGGCUGGAGUUCGGUAGGGGAGACUGGAAUUCCUGGUGUAGCGGUGGAAAUGCGCAGAUAUCAGGAGGAACACCAGUAGGCGAAGGCGGCU
rnacentral:rRNA from 1 species